AUGUGUCAGGUACUGUAGGAAAUGUAUGGUGACAUCCCAAUAGUCCCACAUCAGAUAAUGUGGAAGAGUCUAAUGAGUUUAUAAGUAACGGACAUACUAGUAAUAAUAAUUGGGCUUAAGUAUUUUGGGCCGGUGGUUUGGAUCCAACGAGUUAUUAUUGCUAGCGGUUCAGAUCGUUACAUUUGGUAUCAGAGCUUGAUGCUUAGCCAAAAGUGAGAGAAGGACUAUGUAUGUCAUUGGGCCGCUUGAUAAGCAGCCAAAAGUGAGAGAAGGACUAUGUAUGUCAUUGGGCCGCUUGAUAAUCAGCCAAAAGUGUGAGAAGGAUUAUGUAUGUGAUUGGGCCGGAUUGACGAGAACAUCAAAGUCUAAAUGAGGGGAGUAUGUAAUAAUAACUGUGCUUAAGCAUUUUGGGCAAAUGGUUUGGGCCCAACAAGUUAUUAUUGGUAGCAGGUCGGGUCGUUAUAUGUAUACCUAACGCAUGUGCCAAAAGUGUGAGAAGGACUAUGUAUGUGAUUGGGCCGGACUGACGUGGACCUCAAGGUCUAAAUGAGGGGAGUAUGUAAUAAUAUGCUUAAGUAUUUUGGGCUGUUUGGGCCCAACAAGUUAUUAUUGGUAGCGGAUCGGGUCGUUAUAUCUAUA
rnacentral:lncRNA from 1 species